CAGCAGCCGCGGAAUACGGAGGAUCCAAGCGUUAUCCGGAAUCAUUGGGUUUAAAGGGUCCGUAGGCGGUCUUGUAAGUCAGUGGUGAAAGCCCAUCGCUCAACGGUGGAACGGCCAUUGAUACUGCAGGACUUGAAUUAUUGGGAAGUAACUAGAAUAUGUAGUGUAGCGGUGAAAUGCUUAGAGAUUACAUGGAAUACCAAUUGCGAAGGCAGGUUACUACCAAUUGAUUGACGCUGAUGGACGAAAGCGUGGGUAGCGAACAGGAUUAGAUACCCCUGUAUCCCUGUCUCUUAUACAC
rnacentral:rRNA from 1 species